UACGAGUGGCCCAAGCGUUAAUCGGAAUCACUGGGCUUAAAGGGUGCGCAGGCGGACCGGUAGGCAUUCUGUGAAAGCCCACGGCUCAACCGUGGAAUUGCAGGGUGAACCACCGGUCUCGAGGCAGGUAGGGGUCAGCGGAACUAUGGGUGGAGCGGUGAAAUGCGUAGAUAUCCAUGGGAACGCCGAUGGCGAAGGCAGCUGACUGGGCCUGUCCUGACGCUCAGGCACGAAAGCGUGGGUAGCAAACGGGAUUAGAUACCCCGGUAGUCCACGCCGUAAACGAUGUACACUAGGUCGGGGAGGCUCUCACGCCGUCCCGGCCGAAGGAAAACUAAUUAGUGUACCGCCUGGGGAGUACGGUCGCAAGGCUA
rnacentral:rRNA from 1 species